UGAUUAUACUUGUAGACGAGCCUACUGUGACAAACAGACUAAAUUUAACACAUGGCGACAAAAUAGUAGUUCAAAUGAAAAUUACACCACUUUUGUUGAGUUUUGCUGAGAGAAAUUACAAUAAUUCCUUGAAGAAGAAACUUGACGAAGGAAUUGCUCGUCUUCCUCUGUUGUGGACCAAAUUGGCAUCAUCCAUUUUUAGGUAAUGCUUGUCUUCCAUUCCACCACUUCUAACAGAUGAUGGUAGAUUGGUUACUGGCCUUAAGGAAAAGCCUUAACUACUUCAAGCUUUCAUAGUUAAGCAAUUGGCUGAGGAUGUCUCUAUCCUGGAUACUUCUUAUAAAAUUUGCAUUUUGGUCCAGAGAUGUUAAAAAAAAUUCUGGAUUAUCUUGAUAGCUGGAGUGGAGAAGACCCUGAUGGUUUCUCUCCUUUGUUUUUUUAAAAAAGUUUCUAGCGUGUUGUCUCCCAAGUUUAGUAUAGAUUCUAUAGAUUUUUAUGUCGAUGUAGCAUAUUUGUAGAUGAUUGCAAGCUUAGUAAUACAGUGCCUGUUCCAAAGAGUGGCAUAUCUGCAAACUGCAGUAAUUACAGGCCAAUCUCUAUUCUCACUGUGUUCUCCAAAGUUGCUGAAAAACGUAUUUUUAAACCACUAUAUAAAUAUUGUGAGUCUGCAGAAUUGUUUGCUGAUAGUCAAUAUACAUAUAGGAAGCAGCUAGAUAGUAAUUGCAAUGCUCUUUUAAACUUGAGAUGUCGUUUUAUUGGAACCUUGAUAAGGGUUUUGAGUGCAAAUUAAUUCAGAUACAUUUUAGUGCUGGUUUCACUUUAGCGAAUCACAAUAAAGCACUUAUUUAUAAAUUUCAGAAUUUUUGAGUGGGUGGAAAUAUUUUUAGAUUACGUCAAGAUUUCCUUACAGGUAGACAGCAGCGAGUUGCUGUGAACGGGAUCUUUAGUGAAUCAAGGUCUAUUGGGUUUGGAGUCCAAAUUAGCCUCCACUAUCCCUCCAACAAUUACACAUGCCCCAGUGUCAGACUGGGUAAAAUCUGUUAAACCAUUGAUUUACCAGGAUUGGAAAGGAGAAUGGGCCUCGGUGCCAACAACAAAUAAACUUAAAAACAUAAAAACUGAAGUAUAUGCAUGGAGGACAUCCUCACAGGAGGAAAGAUCAAAAGAGGUGAUCCUAACAGGGCUCCGUAUAGGACACAAGAUUCUCGCAUGGUCACUUGAUGUCAACACCACAUGCUGACCCAAUGAAGUGUAACAGAUGUCAAACACCCAUGACAGUACAGCAUUUACUUGUUGAGUGCCCAAUUUGGACCCAGCAAAGAUCUAUUUAUCUACGGAAUUCAAAAAUGAAAAGUAUUCUUGCUGAAAGCAAAGAUUUUUCAAUUAAUAACAUCAUAAAUUUUUAAAGUAAGACAGGUUUCUCAAAUAAAGUAAUUUUUUUUCCCCUCUCAGAAUUGAUCCCUGAGAACCAGCCCGAAAGAGUCUACUUGAGACUCAGAGGUCUGGAAAAACUAACCCCUAUUAAUAAUAAUGUGUUUGGAGUUCCACAGGGCAAUGUUCUUUAUCCAGUGUUAUUUUUAGUGUGUAGAAGUGACAUGGUUGUUGGCCUGGGAAAACAGGAUUGUUCAGUAUGCCGAUGAUGCAACACUUGUGAAUGUAGUAAAGUCUCCACUUUUGAGAAAUGAAGCUGCCCUCAGCCUCAAUGGGAACAUGGACCGGGGAAUGGUGUAGUCUGAGGGGUAUAAGGCUGGAUUCCAGUAAAACUAACACACUAUUGAUUAGCAGAGCUCGUACAGAUUUUCCACCCCAUCCUCCACUUCAGGGUAAUGGGACUUUGCUGAACGAGUCUGAAGCUUAACAGUUCUAGAUGCAACCUUUGACUUUUGAGAAAAAGCUAAUGAAAGUUUCAGCAAAAUCCGCACGAAAGUUAUCUAUUGUUCAUAAGACCUCGUAUAUUUAUAACAUAAAAAUCAACGCAAAACUGAUUUAGGUCAUUUGUACUCCCUUUACUAGAAUACUGAUUUGCACUCCCUUUGUACUACUAGAAUUCUGUUUUCAGGUGAUGAUGUCUGCUUCUGCCAGAGAUUUAUCUCUUAGAUUGAGUGGUUUGUGAUGGUAGGUUUCUGUUUCCUAACAGCAGUAGUUAUGACCAUUACCGUAUGGUCUCUUGUUUGUCAGUUUUCACUGGUUGUAUUUCAACAGAUAUUUCACAGUUACAAUACGGUGACCCCAUAUAAAAAUGGGAACUAGCUGGGAAGAUUUCACAGUCACAAUUAAUCCCUGAUCCACUUAAUCUAUCGAGAACAACCAGAUUCGCUAAACAGCAGCACCAAUAUGUAAUAAAUGUGCCUCAUUGUCAAACUUCUCAAUUCCAGAGGUCCUUUAUUCCUCAGACCAUUGGACUGUGGAGCAGCCAAUCCAGAGGAAGUCAUGCAAUUGGAACUUGAGAAGUUCAAGCGAAGGUAAACACCACCCUGAACAAGAAAGAUAGUUUGCAUACUGUUGAAUCAAUCAAGAGAAGGCCCCUGGAAGAAUAAUUCCUUGAGACACUAGAAUCAUGUUAUCAGAAAAACCUGUGCGGGAAAAAAAGGUUCGGACUAAAGGCCAUGUCUGCCUAACGUUCUCCAUAAUGUCUUGAACAGAACAGGCCUAUUCUGUUUUAUUCAGAGGUUGGUACAACCCUCGAUUGAAGACCCAUUCUCCAGUGUAGACCUAUGGAUAAAAGGACUGCACUCUUGACAGUCAAGAAGUUGACCAAAAGCAAAGUAAGGAGAGGGAGAAAACAGCAGCCUGUAUAUAUAUACUAUUCAGCAAGAGAGGACUCUAGAGCAGAAGAUUAUAUCGUCGGAAAAGCAGCAUAUAUAUAAAUAUAGAUAAGCCGGUAAUCUAGAGAGAAAACAGCAGCCUGCAUAUACUAUUCAGCGAGAGAGAGGACGCGAGAGCAGGAGAGGAUUGUAUCGUCGGAGCAGCAGCAUAAAUAUACUAUAAGCCGGUAAUCCACGGCUGUUAAAUAAAUUAAAAAUGUGAUGCGUCCAGAAAAUCUUUUUUUUGUGGGCAGAGAUUUCAAAUUACUAUUUUUUUUAUUUACUUUUUUUCUGUGGGCGGAGAUUCCAGCUUACAUUUUUGAAAAUUUAGUUAGCAAACUAGUUGCAUCAGAUUUGUUAAGCUGCUUCAAGUCUAAUAAAGAUUAUAAAAUGAUAUUUUU